UCCCGUGUGGCUCAGUUGGUAGAGCAUGGUGUUUGCAACGCCAGGGUUGUGGGCUCGAUUCCCUCGGGGGAC
rnacentral:tRNA from 1 species